GACGAACGCUGGCGGCGUGCUUAACACAUGCAAGUCGAACGGUGAAAGAAGAGAUUGCUAUUCUGGAUCAGUGGCGAACGUGUGAGUAACACGAGAGUAACCUGCCCCAGACUAUGAAAUAAGCGCUGGAAACGGCGUCUAAUACCGGAUACGAGACAGAGCUGCAUGGCUACAUUCUGGAAAGAUUUUCGGUCUGGGAAGGACUCGCGGCCUAUCAGCUUGUUGGUGAGGUAAUGGCUCACCAAGGCAACGACGGGUAGCCGGCCUGAGAGGGGGACCGGCCACACUGGGACUGAGACACGGCACAGACUCCUACGGGAGGCAGCAGUGGAGAAUGUUGCACAAUGGGCGAAAGCCAGAUGCAGCGACGCCGCGUGGGGGAUGACGGCCUUCGAGUUGUAAACCUCUGUCAGCAGGGAAGAAGCGAAAGUGACGGUACCUGAAGAGGAAGCCCCGGCUAACUACGUG
rnacentral:rRNA from 1 species